GUCCAUCAUGGGGGUGAAGCCAUUGGUCAAAGUUGACCCACAGUCAGGAAAGAAAAGCGUAUUUUAUAUUGAAAGCUGAUCCUCCACCCCCACCCUGCCAUUACCAGUAGCUAUCAGCUGCGGCAGUCCACUGAAAGAGGAGAACAGGAUUUCUAAAAGGCAAGUUUCCCUGACUGUGCCUGUUGAAGCUCAUCUAUCCCAGAAAGACACUAAGGAGGCAGUUAGCUUUUCAAAAACCACUUUCAAGCACCUACAAAGACAGCCUAUUUCCCAAGGAAGAAGUAUCCUAGUUAUGAUGGGCCACUUUGUCCUAAGUAUGAGAACUGAGCUGGGAAGAAGUGGAAAGGCUCCAUCUACUCAUGCUAUACCCGUGAC